rnacentral:rRNA from 1 species
GAUUUAUUUAAUGGCCGCGGUAUAUUAACCGUGCAAAGGUAGCAUAAUCAUUAGUCUAUUAAUUGUGGACUUGUAUGAAUGGUUGGACGAAAUAUUUACUGUCUCGCUUAUUAUAUUAUAAUUUAAUUUUUUAGUUAAAAAGCUUAGAUUUAAUUAUAGGACGAGAAGACCCUAUAGAUCUUUAUUUUGUUGUUAAUAGUUUAUUUUUUGUUUAUUUUUUAUUUUAUUGGCGGCAUUGUUUUGUUGGGGUGACAUGGGGGCAUUAUUAACUCCUUAUUUUUUUUUUCAUUGAUUUAUGUUUAUUUGACCUUUUAUUAUUGUUACAAGAUUUAGAUACCUUAGGGAUAACAGCGUUAUUUUUCUUGAGAGUUCAUAUCGACGGAAAANAUUGCGACCUCGAUGUUGGAUUAAGAUUAUUUUCAGGUGUAGUAGCUUGAUUAUUAGGUCUGUUCGACCUUUAAAUUCUUACAUGAUCUGAGUC